UAACAGAUUUUAAUAUCUUUGCAUCUUUUUGUGUCACUUUUUGUACAUCUUCAUGUCUUUUCUUUGUUUCCCUUCAGUAUUUUCAGCUGAGUACAUCCGUUUGUUUCUCAAAGACGACCUUUGUUUUCUAUUCAUUUAUCCAUACUGAUGCACUCUGAGGCCAGUGUGCAUUUUUCUGUGGACAUUUCAUGUGUGUUUAUGGUGACUUUGUUUUCUUUUAACGUUUCAAGUCGUCAGCUUCUGGACAUUAAAAGAAAAUCCAUCUUUUGUGUUUCCUUCUUGAUAUUUGCUUUAGAUUGUGGACAUUUCGUGUAUAUUUGUAGUGAUUUUUUAAAAAAUAUGUCUUCUUUUCUUUUUUUUUUAAUUUGGUUUUCACAGUGUGUCAAGUUUUGUCUCUGUUUUCUCCAUUUUAACCUCUUAGCUUCUGUCUCCGAGUUUCUGUCUGUGCAUUUAGUGGAGGCGUUUUCUAUAAAGCUGUAAGUUUGAGUCUGUGAAUCUGAUUUUAAGACUGAUAUUUGUGUCAAUAGUCUUUGUGGCUGUUUGCUUCAGUUUGAAGUCUUUUUGCAUCCAUUUCUUUAUACUGAACAUUUUUUAACCCUAGUCUUUACUUCUCAACCCCUUUUGUUGAAAUCUUUUAGGCUCUGUUUGUUUUCGCCUUUGUGUUGCUCUGAUUUCUGAUUUGGCUUUUUUGGUCUAAAUUAAAAAUUUCACAUCAUGUGGUAAUUUGCUUUGCUGGGAAGGUUUCUGAAAAUCUGUGGAUAUGAAUCUGUGCCUCUCGGCUUUCUGUCAGUUUCUUCAAACUGAGGCUGACUGGUUUCUGGUAGGUCUGUACAUUUUUAGUUGUUAAACCUCACCUCCACCCUCUGACUGAUUGUUCUCAAUCGUUUUAAGACAACUUUAAGAGUUCAGGGCUCAAUUAUUGCAUGAAUGACCUGUUGAGGUGAUGAUUUACUUUGAGACGUGGCGACGAGGAGGAGAGGAAAGCAGGAAGAAGAGGAGUGAGGCAUUAAGUCGGCCUGGAUUCGUCCUCUCUUUCUCUCUUUGUGGCACCAAAUCUGCCGAGC
ensembl:lncRNA